rnacentral:rRNA from 1 species
UACCCGCUGGACUUAAGCAUAUCAAUAAGCGGAGGAAAAGAAACUAACAAGGAUUCCCCUAGUAACUGCGAGUGAAGAGGGAAGAGCUCAAAUUUAAAAUCUGGCAGUCUUAUGUCUGUCCGAGUUGUAAAUUAGAGAAGCGUUAUCCGCGCUGGCCUGUGCAAAAGUCUCUUGGAAAAGAGCAUCAUAGAGGGUGACAAUCCCGUCUUUGGCACAGACUACCAGGGCUUUUGUGAUGCGUUCUCGAUGAGUCGAGUUGUUUGGGAAUGCAGCUCUAAAUGGGUGGUAAAUUCCAUCUAAAGCUAAAUAUUGGCGAGAAACCGAUAGCGCACAAGUACCGUGAGGGAAAGAUGAAAAGAACUUUGAAAAGAGAGUUAAACAGUACGUGAAAUUGUUGAAAGGGAAACGCUUGAAGUCAGUCGUGUCCUUCAGAAAUCAACCUGACUUUCGUUGGGCGUACUUUCUGUUGGAUGGGUCAGCAUCAAUUUUGAUCGUUGGAUAAAGGCCUCGGGAAUGUGGCAUCUUCGGAUGUGUUAUAGACCUUGGUUCGCAUACAAUGGUUGGGAUUGAGGAACUCAGUGUGACUUAUGUUUGGGGCUUCGGCCUACACUACGCACUUAGGAUGCUGGCAUAAUGGCUUUAAUCGACCCGUCUUGAAACACGGACCAAGGAGUCUAACAUACAUGCGAGUG